rnacentral:rRNA from 1 species
UCGCUAGUAAUCGCGAAUCAGAAUGUCGCGGUGAAUACGUUCCCGGGUCUUGUACACACCGCCCGUCACACCAUGGGAGUCGGAUAUGCCCGAAGUCAGUGACCCAACCUUUUGGAGGGAGCUGCCGAAGGUGGAGCCGAUAACUGGGGUGAAGUCGUAACAAGGUAUC